AUGAGACCGAUGGCUGUGCUACUUGAGCUUGUCGCCCUUCCUUCCUCCUUCCCGUCCAUCAGUUCCCCCAUCGAAACAAAAUCAGUCCCCCCACCAAAAGCUAGGGUUAGGGUUAGCGAGGCGGCGGCGGCUUUAUUCCCGAUGCCGAUCGCCAUGGACACCGGAGGCGCGCCGGAGCCGGAUGAGGAGUCCGUCGUCUUCCCCAGAUGGGCGAUGCUGGAUCGCAGAGGCCGCACCCGCUGCCACAACGGCCUAAACGCUGCCCGUGUGGCUGCCAACAAGAACAAGACCGCCGUUCCAGUCCACAUGGACGGCGGCCCCUCCUGCUACGUGACCUUCACCCUCGCGGCUCCUCAAAAAGGGAUCUCCUGCCUCAACCUCCACUUGCCGGAGGAACCUCCACUUACCCCAGCCACCCCGCCCGCCUAUGCCUACGUCCGGGCAACCGACAAGGACCUCGUCCUUUUCGACAUCACCAACCCGAGCCGGUCUUGCUACUGGGACCCCCCGUCAGAUCUGUUCGUCUACACGGCCGGCGGUCCUUCCCCCUCGGUGCAGCCGCUCCCUAUGUACACCAAGGAGAGGGAGAGGCCGUUCCUGAUGGACAACCUCACCACAGGCAUCCUGCGGCUCGCGGAGGACCGCUACAUCGUUGCCGACCUCAAUGUCUACCCCAAAAGAAAGGGCAAUGCCAUGCGUGCCGAACUCUGCGUCUUCAACUCCGAGACUAGAAAGUGGAAAAUCAUCCGCAAAUUGGACCCAGGCAAUGGCGGACAGUUCCCCGAACUCUGGUCAACCGAUAAUGUGCUCGCCUUUGAUGGCCGUUUCCUGUGCUGGAUUGACUACUUCAGCGGUGUCCUGCUAUGUGACUUCUCCACGUCCACUCCAGACUCCUUGGCGCUCCGCUUCGUGCCUUUCCCUGGAGAAAAUAACUUCUCUGAUGAGGUACGUGUUGAAAGGUACUCCCCGGAGAGGUUCCGAAGUGUGUCCAUCACCCAAGGCAUGAUGCGCUUUGUCCACAUUGACAAUGACUACCAUGACAGUCUCCAUGGUGCCUGGCAAUGGCUUAAGCUUCCUGAGAGAAAAAGGAAAGUGCAGCAGCAUCAGCCUUGCAAGAAAAUCACCAUUUGGACUUUGAACCCCAAGUUUGAGUGGGAGCAGCAUUGUGUGAUCAACCUGCAUUAUCUUUGGGCGCAACCUGGUUACAAAGCCCUUGACAUACAUCAGUGUCUCCCCGAGUUCCCGAUCAUGACCGUGGAUGACCCGGAUGUUCUGUGCUGCCUGUUAAGGGAAGAGGAUUAUGGCAAGGGCUGGAUGAUCAUGGUUGACAACCAUGCGCAUCUGCGGUCAUGUACUCCUGAGUCCGAGUCUCUGGGCGUGGAAGCUCAUGAUAACCGGUUUCCUGAUAUCCCCCUACUUCCAACUGUCUUCUGCAAAUACCUUGAAAGCCCAACAGGGGUGGCUUGGAUUGAGCAUAAAAAGCGUAAGCGUAAGCUGAAGUCUGCAAAGGUAAAGGCCUGGAAUCUGGUGACUGGUGUUGAACACUUUGGCGACGCUCAAAUCAAAGAUGCGAUGAAGAUGGUGUACUGA
rnacentral:rRNA from 1 species